rfam:Flavobacterium johnsoniae TW101, complete genome.
UGUCACAUCAAAAUAAAGAAAUGAGAACAAUAAUGAACAAUACUUGGUGGUGGAACAAUUUACGUCAAACGUCGUGAACGAAGCUUCCUAUGGUAUUUUCAAAACUAUAAAUAUAAAAGGCUUGUC